UGCUUUACACAUGCCAAGUCGAACGGCAGCACGGGGGCAAACCCUAGUGGCGAGUGGCGAACGGGUGAGUAAUAUGUCGGAACAUAUCCGGAAGUGGGGGAUAACGUAGCGAAAGUUACGCUAAUACCGCAUAUGCCCUGAGGGGGAAAGGGGAGGAUCGCAAGACUUCUCGCUUUCGGAGUGGCCGAUAUCGGAUUAGCUAGUUGGUGAGGUAAAGGCUCACCUAGGCGACGAUUCGUAGCUGGUCUGAGAGGACGACCAGCCACACUGGGACUGAGACACGGCCCAGACUCCUACGGGAGGCAGCAGUGGGGAAUUUUGGACAAUGGGCGCAAGCCUGAUCCUUUCCAUGCCGCGUGAGUGAAGAAGGCCUUCGGGUUGUAAAGCGC
rnacentral:rRNA from 1 species